CAGUCGAACGGAACUUGAGAGAGCUUGCUUUUUCAAGUUUAGUGGCGACCGGGUGAGUAACGCGUGAGUAACCUGCCCUGGAGUGGGGGACAACAGUUGGAAACGACUGCUAAUACCGCAUAAGCCCACAGCACCGCAUGGUGCAGCGGGAAAAGGAUUUAUUCGCUUCAGGAUGGACUCGCGUCCAAUUAGCUAGUUGGUGAGGUAACGGCCCACCAAGGCGACGAUUGGUAGCCGGACUGAGAGGUUGAACGGCCACAUUGGGACUGAGACACGGCCCAGACUCCUACGGGAGGCAGCAGUGGGGGAUAUUGCACAAUGGGGGAAACCCUGAUGCAGCGACGCCGCGUGGAGGAAGAAGGUUUUCGGAUUGUAAACUCCUGUCGUAAGGGACGAUAAUGACGGUACCUUACAAGAAAGCCACGGCUAACUACGUGCCAGCAGCCGCGGUAAAACGUAGGUGGCAAGCGUUGUCCGGAAUUACUGGGUGUAAAGGGAGCGCAGGCGGACCGGCAAGUUGGAAGUGAAAUCUAUGGGCUCAACCCAUAAAUUGCUUUCAAAACUGCUGGCCUUGAGUAGUGCAGAGGUAGGCGGAAUUCCCGGUGUAGCGGUGGAAUGCGUAGAUAUCGGGAGGAACACCAGUGGCGAAGGCGGCCUGCUGGGCACCAACUGACGCUGAGGCUCGAAAGCAUGGGUAGCAAACAGGAUUAGAUACCCUGGUAGUCCAUGCCGUAAACGAUGAUUACUAGGUGUUGGAGGAUUGACCCCUUCAGUGCCGCAGUUAACACAAUAAGUAAUCCACCUGGGGAGUACGACCGCAAGGUUGAAACUCAAAGGAAUUGACGGGGGCCCGCACAAGCAGUGGAGUAUGUGGUUUAAUUCGAAGCAACGCGAAGAACCUUACCAGGU
rnacentral:rRNA from 1 species